GACGAACGCUGGCGGCGUGCCUAAUACAUGCAAGUAGAACGCACAGUUUAUACCGUAGCUUGCUACACCAUAGACUGUGAGUUGCGAACGGGUGAGUAACGCGUAGGUAACCUGCCUGGUAGCGGGGGAUAACUAUUGGAAACGAUAGCUAAUACCGCAUAAUAUUGAUUAUUGCAUGAUAAUUGAUUGAAAGAUGCUAUUGCAUCACUACCAGAUGGACCUGCGUUGUAUUAGCUAGUAGGUGAGGUAACGGCUCACCUAGGCGACGAUACAUAGCCGACCUGAGAGGGUGAUCGGCCACACUGGGACUGAGACACGGCCCAGACUCCUACGGGAGGCAGCAGUAGGGAAUCUUCGGCAAUGGACGAAAGUCUGACCGAGCAACGCCGCGUGAGUGAAGAAGGGUUUCGGAUCGUAAAGCUCUGUUGUAAGAGAAGAACGGGUGUGAGAGUGGAAAGUUCACACUGUGACGGUAUCUUAACAGAAAGGGACGGCUAACUACGUG
rnacentral:rRNA from 1 species